GUGCCACGCACCAUCGGCAGUGUGACAGUUUUGGAGUGUGCCUGGCUCUCCUCGGGUGCAGAAUCCAGCCUGAGAUGAAUAUUCAGAAGUUGAACCCGGUGAACCGCCUGAGUGGGACAGAGCCAGCGAUGACAGCCAGGCCAAGGCAAGCUGGAACAUUCUUGUGCAGUGACAGCUUGAGCCAUCGCAGCAGAGGCAGGCCAUCCAACUCCGGCCCCCAGCAGAACAGGUGUCUGCAGAGCAGGUUUUGGGCAAACUUCAAAGAACUUCACAAUUUUACAGUUUCUGAUUUACAAUCACAGGCAAGUGCUCAUGAGCACAUAAUAUGUUCUGGGGAAUUUUUUUUUUCUUUUUAUCUCCUUCCCCCCUCCCCACUCCCCCACUCUCACGUAUACCAUGAACGAACACAGAAAAAAGAAAAUAGACUUAGGAAACUAGCUUCUUCACAAAAUUACCUAUGAGCAGUGAUCCGGCCUGCCUCCAGUAAGAGACAGUGGCGACCUGCAAAGGUGGACUGGUGAUGUAGCCUGAUUCAGGUUGUAAAGUCUGACAUGCAAAGCACACGAUUUUAACAGAGACAAUACAAGGAAGACAGGAGUCGGUUCUGGUACUUUUGAAAAGCAACCACCAUUUUAAAAAAUCCAAAAAUUAUGUUUAUUUUAUUUUCCUUUUCUUCAAUGUUGCUAAAACGGAGAAGAACAUGAACAGCUGCAAUGAGGUCAGGGGCAUGCCAUGUAGAACUCCUUGCUCCAUGGUUAAGAAGCAGGCUCUGGAGGAAGGAGGGUCCACUCCAAAUCCCGGCUCCACGACCUACUAGUUGUGUGACUUUUUCUCUCUAUGCCUCAAUUUCUUCAUCAAUAAAAUGAAGAUCAGACUCA